CGUAAGAUGAGAGGCUUCCUCUGGAGGCGUCGCCGAUGUCGCAGCGCUGAGGAGACACAGACGGUCAGAGUCCAAUAACUAAAGCAUGUGACAUUUAACAA